rnacentral:lncRNA from 1 species
AAUCAGCCACCACCCCAGCCUCAGAUGCAGCCCCAGUGGCAAGCAAAGGCAGAGCCAGCUGUCUCCACCCCAAAGGCAGCAGAGCAGAGAGGCUGUGGGAGAAAGUCCUUGGGCAUCCUCUACGCCCUGGUUGGGGUGUCUCUGCUGGUGUCGACAGCCGCCUUCUUGCUAAUGCUCCUGAAAUGGAUCCCAUGCUGCCCACAUGGCUGGGAGGAGUUCCAGAAGAAAUGCUACUUUUUCUCCCUUGAAAAGGAGCCCUGGGAAAUGGCCAGGAACUCAUGCAGCAACCACAGUGCAGAGCUAGCUGUCAUCAGCAACCCGUGGGAGCAGGUACGUCCUGAUCCUCCUGCCUCUGGGAGAGGCAGAACUGGGGGCAGUGCUGGG